AAGGCGGUAACUGCUUACCUCUCAUGUAAGCUACAGCCUAUGUGGUGUGUGGCAAGUCAUAUUAAUGACCAAGAAUGACUUACUUGUAACUUAAUUGUUAUGUGCUUUUAAUAUGUGUUUCAGGCAGUGGUGUUGCAUCUUUUAUAUGCAUGGUUGUCCUGAAGUCAUUCUGGAACAGGGGUUGUGUUCAGGUGCGUGACAACUGACAACAUUGAGAAGACCCAGGAGCGGGAGAAGGGCAGCCCCAUGAAAGAAGGCGACAGUGUUCUGUGGUCACACCUGAGAUGAUGGUCCUGAAGAGGAACGAGAGGAGAUACUGGGCAUAUAAAUACAGGCACUGGGCAUCACAGUGGAGGACAAUCAUGAAAAGGUUGAAGACUUCACUGUGCCCAUCCCUGAAGUCCCUCCACUCGGUGCAGCAGCUCUUUCCACCAUACUGCCAUGCUCUGGGUUGUCCCUGCCACCAUCCACCUUUUGGGUCAUCCGUGCCCUCAGCCAUCACCGUGCCUGCAGCGCCUGGGUCAUCCGUGCC